GAAAUGCUGUGGCUCAGUGGUUGUCUCAGAGGUUCGUCUCCUGACCGAGGAGCAACAAGCCCGGUAACCGAUCUGCUAGAAGGAAAAAGAACUCCCCAAACUUCUUCGAGGCGCACGCUGCCACAGUCAUUGAAAUGACCCUUUGCAAAUUACUUCUG